GAGAGAGAGAGAGAGAGAGACGCUGUCGACCAGAGAUCUAAGACGGAGGUAUCGUGUUGUGGAGAGCGUUUAUGUUUUAUUGUGGAAGUCGACGGCUUGUUAUCCUCAUAUAAACUUCUGUGUGACCUGCAAGAGGAGGCUGACGGUGGAGAAGGAGAGGUCGAGACGGGUUUCCAACAGACGGCCCUGCUGUUUUUCUUCCUUGUGACUUCGCUGCUGUGCGCCAUUGCCCACGCUGUGUGCUUGAACUGUGACUGCCAUUGCCCUCAUGAGACUGCCAUCGUUUGUCCCCCUCUAUCCCCACUAACAAACAUUGGAUUCAUGUAUUUUCCUGAGGCUGUGCAUGUCAGCGGCUGCAGGGAUGCAUGGGGUAGAUGACUGCUGCUGUCGUUGGUGGGCUGUAAUGUGAGGGCCUUCUCAUGUUCUAUGGCCCUCCAGGGCACUGUAGUCCGAGGACAUCAUGUUUAUGUCCCAUCAAUAUCCCAUAACUGUGGAGAGCUGUUGUCCACAUUAACCCACAUAUGAAGAUGUACGCAUGUACAAACACAGGAAAAAAAACAAAAAACACACAGAGGCAGAAAUAGGCCUAAGUCAGACACACGCACAUGCAUAAAUGGAAGACUUUCACAAGAGCUACAACACUGUAGUUUUUCAAGAUGCUCAGACAACUAAGUAAUUCCCAGCAACACUCACCUAAAACUCUCACAAACACAUGCACACACUGAAUAUUCAUGCUUCCCAUAUUCAUAUAUUAUACAAGACAUCAUGAAGGCCCAAAAAUCCAACUCACAUAAAUGUAUGCACACUCUCACAUGCACGGACUAGAUUGGCAGUCAGUAGAUCACUUACCUCUACUGAGGCUCUGUAGUCCCCUUGAAUUCAAUCAAACCUAUCAAACUCCUUUACCCUUUAUCACUUUAAAUUUGAAACCACUCAUAACUGCUUAUCCAUCGAAAUUUACCAGAUUUUUUUCAUCAAUAUCCAUGUAUUAAUACCUGAGAACAUAAAGACAAUGCUGGAACAAUGUUUUAUUAAUGAAGUGAGAAAAAAACAAACAAACAAACAAAAAAAACUGUCCCUUGUCCUGGGCAGGGACCCAUCCUCCAUCCAAGUUUUGUGGAAAUAGUGUAAAUGUAAGUUUUUUUGUGUUCUCUCAAAAAAUAUCACGCUAGUUAUAGUUGAAAUUCAAAAGGAUCAUUCAAUGCCUCAAGAGGGUAUAUGCUCGUGUUGAGACAGAUAUAUCAGUACGAAGAUUAAUAACUAAACAUUGCUAUUUUUGGGUAAAAGUUUAAUUUAUCAUCAACAGGAACAGAGGGACAGUAACCACGCCAUCUCCAGGUUUUUGUCUACAGCUACUAAUUACUGCGCCCGUCGUAGUCAUAUGCAAACCACUACGACGUAAAUACACGAGAUGCCACUGAGAUAGACUUGACAUUGAAUAUGACAACAAAAGCAAUCAUGUGUGGAGCUACAUAUGACAAUAGAAUGCUGUCUGUUUAAAUGUGUCAGAAUCUUACCGCUAUUGGUUUUACUUGGUGAGGGAAUCAGUAGUAUCGCACAUCACUAUUUGCACUCCUGCCCCAACUGUGCUCAAAGCUGUGCACUGUUAUUAGGUCACACAUUUCCUUGCUAAACACAAACAAGUCCCCAAACUUUCUCUCUCACUGUCAUUUGAUGCUGCCACACUUCCAAAAUGCAGCUUUGCUUCUUUUUCCAGACCUCAGAGAACAAAUGAGCUAAUACUGCACUGGUCUGCUCCUUCUCUGUCUCUGUUGCAGUGGCACCAUUCCCGCCAUUUGUGUUUCGAUUCUGCUCUUUUUCAUUGACAAGACAUUCUUCAGCUCUUUCCCUGCUUCUCUCACAUUGCUGAUUUUUUCCCCCUCGCUCCUUUUCUCAUUUGUUCUCAGCACUUUUCUGCUGCUCACUCACCCCCUCUCCUCUCCUUGUCCUCUUGACUCAACACUGGAGACUGACUUCCCAUCCUGCUCACUUCUCUCACUUUUUAAUAGCUGUACUCUACUUCUUAGCGUUGGUCUGUUCACCCAGUUUUCUAUGACUCAUUCUUUCCUGCAUUCUUCUGCGCAUAAUUUUGCUUUUCUUCACCUUUCUUUUCACGCUAUUUGCUUUGUCCUUUUUUUCUUAAUAUUAAGACAUAAUUAUCUUCUAUUGCUUGUUUAGAGAGAUUUAUAUUUUUGCAUUUGAAGUAAAAAUCUUUAAAUAAGAAAAAUAAGAUUUUCAUGUAAAUAUCAAUCUCUGUCUAUUGCCAAAUGAGGCAACACAAUGAUACCAAAGAUCUACACUGGGUGUCGGUGGCAACUUGCCAGGAACACUGACUGAUGCGUUCACCCAGCAGUGGUAGGUUGGCCAGAGAAAAUAGGUGAUUGGCAUCAUAGUGACUGGAAUAGGUUAGCCUAAUGUAUGACAAUGAAUAAGUAUGUACUAGGGUUGGGCCAAUGAACAAUGCAAUCUUCCAUUGCUGAUGGCUGACAGCCAUGGACUACUAAUCCCUGACCAUCAUAACAUUGUUAUUCAAACCAUUUCCCAGCAGCAAGUGCAAUUAAGUGGCGUUUCCCCUCUGAGUUGCCGUAGGGUAGGAGUUGUUGUUGUUUGUGAUAUGUGCAUAAAGGGGAAUUAAAAGAAGGAUGUUGCUGCUCAGCGCACCAACAUUGCAUCUCCACAUCACAUUUAUUAUUCCUUAAAUAAAACCAACUCAGUUUGGCGAACCUAAGGCGUUCAUUUACAUUUGUGGCAGCAGUGUUUCUUUUCCAGCGGGCAGCUGUUUCUCUCAGUUCAUGACGUUUUUAUACACAGUUUUCAUGGCUUAGCUUCCUUGGCUUGUCGGCCAAUGUUGUUUUAUACAUAUGAGGCUGAGCAAAGCUGAAUUAUGGACACAUGGCAUGGAGACAAGGACUCUUAAACCUAGCAUGAGGAUGUAUGUUGGUGGUGACGGGAGACAGUUUCCUCUGCAGGGUGAAGCAGUUGCAGAGUCAUGUCAGAGCAACAGCGGCUAAUAGUGGUGAGCUAAUACACAACUGCUGCCUUACGACAACACUGAGUGGACAUUCUACCUCAAAUUCAUAUCAUCUAGAUCUCCACUUGAACAAUAAUGGACAGUAGACGGAUGCUGAGAAUGCAGUAUACAUAAAGUACCCGUAUUAAUUUCUGCUGCUGUUAUGCAUGUCUGAGUGUUUCUUUGCUAUAUACUUUGUCAUUCAAUAUCCUUUUCCUGAUUACAACAAAUCCUUAUUUUCACCAUUCCUUUCUCACUGUCAGCGUCAACUAUUUGCAUUUCUUUGGUGGCUGAUUAUUAACAAAUAAUUAUGUUUGUUUUGUUUUAAGUUUUAAAAGAGUUUAAAUGUAAACAUAGCUCUUAACAGGCAUGCACAGGUCACAUUGUUCCCACACACUGUUCCCACACACACACACACACACACACACACACACACACACACACACACACACACACACACACACACAGCGCUUAUUAAGAGAAAGGUCAGUCCUUUCAAAACAACAAGCUGCUUCAAUAGAUAGUGAGAGGAAGAAAAACAGAUUAUCGCCCAGAUGCUAAAAUGUAACCGCCGGGGUAAUUCAUCCACUUCUGCAGGUACAAGUUCAGUCAAGAUCUUCCGUAAUUGCACAUAUGUAAGAGUGUUGUGCUACUUAUGACUGCGAUGUUAUUCUCUUUUUUUUUUUUUCUUUGGAACAUGAAAACCAAGUUGAAUAACAGAGUCAGAAGUAGUUUUCUUCAACCCUGAGUAAUGAUUUAUGUCUCGCAGUCACGACAGAUGUAAAGGACAUUAUUUAAAUAUUCACUGUGAUGAACAAGCUGAAAGCUGAAAAUAAAGUACAAAGCAAUUUGUGUCAUAGCACUCAAUAUUUCCUGUUUAUCA